rnacentral:rRNA from 1 species
UUAUAUUCUGUAGCAAGGUUAACCGAAUAGGGGAGCCGAAGGGAAACCGAGUCUUAACUGGGCGUUAAGUUGCAGGGUAUAGACCCGAAACCCGGUGAUCUAGCCAUGGGCAGGUUGAAGGUUGGGUAACACUAACUGGAGGACCGAACCGACUAAUGUUGAAAAAUUAGCGGAUGACUUGUGGCUGGGGGUGAAAGGCCAAUCAAACCGGGAGAUAGCUGGUUCUCCCCGAAAGCUAUUUAGGUAGCGCCUCGUGAAUUCAUCUCCGGGGGUAGAGCACUGUUUCGGCAAGGGGGUCAUCCCGACUUACCAACCCGAUGCAAACUGCGAAUACCGGAGAAUGUUAUCACGGGAGACACACGGCGGGUGCUAACGUCCGUCGUGAAGAGGGAAACAACCCAGACCGCCAGCUAAGGUCCCAAAGUCAUGGUUAAGUGGGAAACGAUGUGGGAAGGCCCAGACAGCCAGGAUGUUGGCUUAGAAGCAGCCAUCAUUUAAAGAAAGCGUAAUAGCUCACUGGUCGAGUCGGCCUGCGCGGAAGAUGUAACGGGGCUAAACCAUGCACCGAAGCUGCGGCAGCGACGCUGAUGCGUUGUUGGGUAGGGGAGCGUUCUGUAAGCCUGUGAAGGUGUGCUGUGAGGCAUGCUGGAGGUAUCAGAAGUGCGAAUGCUGACAUAAGUAACGAUAAAGCGGGUGAAAAGCCCGCUCGCCGGAAGACCAAGGGUUCCUGUCCAACGUUAAUCGGGGCAGGGUGAGUCGACCCCUAAGGCGAGGCCGAAAGGCGUAGUCGAUGGGAAACAGGUUAAUAUUCCUGUACUUGGUGUUACUGCGAAGGGGGGACGGAGAAGGCUAUGUUGGCCGGGCGACGGUUGUCCCGGUUUAAGCGUGUAGGCUGGUUUUCCAGGCAAAUCCGGAAAAUCAAGGCUGAGGCGUGAUGACGAGGCACUACGGUGCUGAAGCAACAAAUGCCCUGCUUCCAGGAAAAGCCUCUAAGCAUCAGGUAACAUCAAAUCGUACCCCAAACCGACACAGGUGGUCAGGUAGAGAAUACCAAGGCGCUUGAGAGAACUCGGGUGAAGGAACUAGGCAAAAUGGUGCCGUAACUUCGGGAGAAGGCACGCUGAUAUGUAGGUGAAGUCCCUCGCGGAUGGAGCUGAAAUCAGUCGAAGAUACCAGCUGGCUGCAACUGUUUAUUAAAAACACAGCACUGUGCAAACACGAAAGUGGACGUAUACGGUGUGACGCCUGCCCGGUGCCGGAAGGUUAAUUGAUGGGGUCAGCGCAAGCGAAGCUCUUGAUCGAAGCCCCGGUAAACGGCGGCCGUAACUAUAACGGUCCUAAGGUAGCGAAAUUCCUUGUCGGGUAAGUUCCGACCUGCACGAAUGGCGUAAUGAUGGCCAGGCUGUCUCCACCCGAGACUCAGUGAAAUUGAACUCGCUGUGAAGAUGCAGUGUACCCGCGGCAAGACGGAAAGACCCCGUGAACCUUUACUAUAGCUUGACACUGAACAUUGAGCCUUGAUGUGUAGGAUAGGUGGGAGGCUUAGAAGUGUGGACGCCAGUCUGCAUGGAGCCGACCUUGAAAUACCACCCUUUAAUGUUUGAUGUUCUAACGUUGACCCGUAAUCCGGGUUGCGGACAGUGUCUGGUGGGUAGUUUGACUGGGGCGGUCUCCUCCUAAAGAGUAACGGAGGAGCACGAAGGUUGGCUAAUCCUGGUCGGACAUCAGGAGGUUAGUGCAAUGGCAUAAGCCAGCUUGACUGCGAGCGUGACGGCGCGAGCAGGUGCGAAAGCAGGUCAUAGUGAUCCGGUGGUUCUGAAUGGAAGGGCCAUCGCUCAACGGAUAAAAGGUACUCCGGGGAUAACAGGCUGAUACCGCCCAAGAGUUCAUAUCGACGGCGGUGUUUGGCACCUCGAUGUCGGCUCAUCACAUCCUGGGGCUGAAGUAGGUCCCAAGGGUAUGGCUGUUCGCCAUUUAAAGUGGUACGCGAGCUGGGUUUAGAACGUCGUGAGACAGUUCGGUCCCUAUCUGCCGUGGGCGCUGGAGAACUGAGGGGGGCUGCUCCUAGUACGAGAGGACCGGAGUGGACGCAUCACUGGUGUUCGGGUUGUCAUGCCAAUGGCACUGCCCGGUAGCUAAAUGCGGAAGAGAUAAGUGCUGAAAGCAUCUAAGCACGAAACUUGCC